GCUUACAGAAAAUGAGCUGAAAAUACACAGAAUUUUAGAGAUUUCAGAGAUCGGAUUGGAAGAGCUAAAAGUAGAGAAAAUAGGCAGCUGAAAACUUCAAAAAAAAUUCACUGUUCUAUUAGAAAAAUCCCUGAAAUUCCUAAGAUGUUCAUUCUGAAAUACUUCAUGAAAAACUGAAGGUUUAAAAUGAGUUGAAUCUGCUUGGUAUUCAAGCGCUCAGGUCAUUUUUUGGUUGAUUUUUUAAUUGUUGGACUUAAUUGAAUGUUGUUGCUGGUUCGAAAUUGUUUCAAAGUUGAUCAUUCCUUAUUUACUCCUGGGCAAAUACCUGUGUUGUUGCUACUUUGCAUUGAGAUGAACCCACUGAUCCUUAGAUUUUCUUUAUAUCUAUUCUUUUCUAGGUAUUCAUCUUACCUUCAAUAUAUGCAAAUGGAUGAAAGUAAAGAUCAGUUCAUUUGAAUAGAGAUUUAUGCCCCAAGUAGUUGUUAUUCAAUGUUUCUGUACCCUUAAAGUUGUUUAGAUUAGCUUGAUCUUCUUAUAAUUCUUCAUACUUGUUCUGAAUAUGGAUUGCUGCGGUGGUAUUAAUUUAGUUAUUCAAGGAUUGCUUGGAAGUUGUUCAUAUCCCUGAGAUUGGAUUAUUAGUCUGCUUGACAAUCAGUAUAUAAGUCAGUUUUCAGAUUCAUCUUGUUGAAAGGAAUAUGCCCAAAGUUAAGUUAUCCAUGUGAUUGUGUAGUUAUGUGUCUCAGUAGUUUAUUUUAAUUUUAAUAUGUGAAUAAGCACCAUAAAAAUGUGUCAGAUUAAGAUGCAUGGAUGAAGGUUUUGCAAAAUUGUUAAGUUCAAUUAGAAUUUGGUUUUGUACAUGCAUGGAUGAAGGUUUGAAUUUUGGGUUAAUCGCUUCAGUAAUAUGCUAGUUUGGUACUGCCCUACUUCCGCCUGAGUUUUCUGAAUGUUGGAAAAUUGUGAAUCAAAUUGAUUUUGAAAAAUGGAGAGUUCAGUGGGUUUUUUUUUUGCACUCGUUUUCCUAAGGAAUUGUGUCAAUGUCUUGAUUUCAUAUAUUAUGUGUGUGAAUGGGAAUUCAACCUUAAGCA
rnacentral:lncRNA from 1 species